GGUCAGACUGCAGGAGGCACAGCCCGAGCUCUCCCCGAGAGGCUCCUAGAGCACCAGAGGAACCAGCCCCUGGGAGCCAGUGCUCCCAGGGUGGGGAGGGAGGGAGUGCAGGCUGUGCCGCUGCUAGGACACGCAGUAAACACAGCCCGGCAGCAGCCGGGGCUGGAGCCGUGAUGAAUCAGGCUUUGAUCCACUUGAUCUCCUCACAAUUACCCCCCUGUACCAGCUUCUCGUGGGAGAACUGCCCGGCUGCAGGAGGGCAGGUCCUGUGAGCUGCAGUGACCUGUCCUCAGUAAGAGGGCUGGUGCUGGGCAAAGCCCAGAGCCCCUUUGGGGGGGUUCAGGUGGGCACCGUGUGUGCCUGUUGCCCUGUUUUGCAGCAGUGUUGGUGCCGUGCCAUUGAGCAGCAGUGUGUGGAAUGGUGUUCCUGCUCUACUGAGACUGGUCCCUUCCAUGCCCAGCCGGCCCCAGUGAGCUCUUGGCCUUUGCUGUUGCUUCUGGACUCUGCCACGACAGUCCACAGACCUCCUCUGUUUCAAAGGGUUUCACACCUCGGAGCUGCCCAGAGCUGCCUCUCUACGACUCCUCUCAAACCCACGCUACAGGCAAGAGCUGCACUGGUUAAAUCCAAAGCAAGGCAAGAGCUGUGCCCACUCCUGCAUGGAGUGGAGGCACAUGAUUUCCUGGAGAACCCAAGGCUACCCUAACUAAUUGAGCUCCCUUGCCAUGUUCUCUCAAAGCACUUAAUGCCACUAUGGCCCUUUUGUGCUGUGCAAAUGCCAGCCCAGGAGCCGUGGAGUUCUGAUGAACCUCCUCACCCACACCAUCUGGGGGUGCAGGCUGUGCUGAGCUGUGCUUCUUCCCUCCCUCAGGAGCAGGUGGGCUGUUCCUUCACAAAACCAGGCUUCCCAGGGUGAUUGGAUUCCGAGGGUGACUCCUUGGCUGUGGGGAUUUAACCCGUGGGUGUGUGUAGCUGUUGCUGCCGUGCAGGGGUGAGCUCCCCACCCUGGAGGGGAUGAUGUCCUGGUGUGUCGCUGGUGGAGGGUUUUGUGGUGCCCAGCGAGGUGGGUUGUACCUGUCUGCCCUCUUAGGGAAGCCUUUCCCUCCAGGGGAGUGACUGCAUGCCAGGCUGGGGUUUGGUGGCCAUGGCUUUGCUGGCAAAGGGCACUGCAGGCAGUGAGAGUGUCCCUGAACAGAGGGACCUGCAGUCCCACAGUGGGAGCUGCACUGCAGGACAGGGGGGCCUGGCUCUCACCCAGGUGGUGCCCAAGAACCAGAACCUUCUCGGGAGGGAUGAGACUCCAGAAGGGCACAUUGCCCUUGUCAUGCAGACUGCAAGACACGCUGCCUUGCUUGUCUGCUUCCUGGGCUGGGAGAGGGCCGAGGCAAGCCAGAGAAACAUGGGAAUGAGAGCUCAGGAAGGUACCCAGGCACCAUAUCUACCAGCCUCAGUGGGGUGUUGAGAGAUGCAGGUAAAACCCUGCCCUGCCUGGAUGCUGCCAGGGCUGGGGAGCUGCAGCUCUUUGAGUUUGGGCUGCCCCUUCACCGGUGAAUCGCUCCUGGCAGUGCCAGGCUGGGAGUGCGGGGGGACAAGGGGUGUGCGGGGAGCCAGGGGCUGGGGGCAGAGCUGUCAGUGACUCACCAUGUUCAUCCAGCUCCAGCGUGGUCCUUCUGCCUGCAGAAAUCCGGCCAACGCCAGAGAAUUACAGAAUAUCCUCCAGCGCGGGGCACGGGCAGGCUCCGGGUGCCCCGAUACCCAGAAUCCGGGGCCGGCGAUGCUCCCGCACCCCUGUGCCUGCUCUCUGUGCCCGCCCUGCGCUCACACUGGGGCAGGACCGCCCCAGCACUCCUUAAAACCCACAAGGGGAGUUGUGAAACAGGAAUUCUAGUUUGUAUUGUAAUACAACACCGGUCUAUCAGCAGCACCAUCACCUGCUGUAAUCUCCUGAGCAUCUGCCACCGGGGGGGUGACUCACCUGCAGGGCUGCUGUCACCAAAUAGCUUAUCAGAAGUGAACUGACUGAUUUUUCCUGCUCCUCCUGAUGAUAAGGGCAUCCACGGCCACCCCGCUCUUUGUCCGGCUCUUCCGCGUUGCGCGGGGUUGUUUUUACGCCGAGGUUUAGGUAGGUGGAGGAGGAAAGGAGGAGAGUUGAUGCACGAGGUUACCCGGCUCUCGGGUCACUCGGUCUGUGUGUCCCCGUGCAGCCCCAGGUCACGGCUGGCAGCUGCUCCUGGCAGUGCUGGGGGGGAGUUAAAGGUGAAGGAAGUGGGUGCCCGUGGAAGGUUGUCCUGAGGCUGCAACGGGGAGACAACAGGGCAUGCUCAGGGGUGGCCGUGCCCUUCUCUCGCAGCCCCCAUCUCCUUGCAGAGCAGCUGGCCUGCCUGGGCGUUGGUGUUGCAUGAGCUGGGGCUGGCAGGGGUGUGUGGGAGAGGGGCUCUCACAGCCCUCAGCCCUGUUUUAGGCAGUGCUCUGCCUGCAGGCAGGUGCCGGGGGUGCUGCUGGAGCCGUGCAUGUGUCUGAUGUAAAGCUGGGCUACACAUCCAGGAAUAAUCAAUCCCUCUGGGUUGGAGAGGCUUGGUUUAGCCUGGCAGGAUGGGAUGGAGGUUUAGGUGUGCAGGAGCUGCUCGCCCCAGCUGGCUGAAGGGGGCCCAGGGGCUGGGCUGGGGUCGGGGAGGCUGCAGGCUGCCUGCCCUCCUCCGCACUCCCGCUGGAAGUGAUGGGUGUGCAGGGUUUGCUGAGCAGCUAAUUACCCUCUCCUUUGGUAAUCCAGCUUUCCACAGGGUCAGGAGAGCUGCUGCUGCCAGGUGUGUGUGCUGUGCCAGUGGGAGGCUGCAGAGAGCCCUGGACCUGCAGCUCCUCAGACAGAGAGCUGUACCAUUGCUGUGCCAGCUCGUCCCUGUCACAGCAGGGACCCUGCCUGCUCCAGUAGCCUGACCAGGGAUCCUGGAAUCCACGUGUGGCUCUGCAGCCACAGGAGGUGGUUUUUCCCUCUUUCCACGAGCAGGAGUUGAUUUCCCACCUGACCCUGUGGUUCGGGACUUUGAGGAGAUGAUCUCAUAGAGCUGAACCAGUUGGACCAGUGGGCGAGGACUGGCGCCUGGCCUCGCUGCACUGGGGGUGGUGAGGCAGCUGUGUCACCGGGAGAGGAGGGCACGGGCAGGACGUGCCAGGCUCCAGCACUCACAGGGCUCUGCUGCAGCAGCUCCAGCCCGGGACAGCCGUGAGCAGCUCCUGCACUCAACACCGAGAUGGACCCCCAGAGAGGGCCUGACUUCGUCUUCAACCUCUACCACAUGCACGGGCUGGGGUCAGUGGCAGUGGAGCUGGUGCCCCCAUUCAGC